rnacentral:rRNA from 1 species
CUACGGGCUGCAGCAGUGAGGAAUAUUGCACAAUGGGGGGAACCCUGAUGCAGCAACGCCGCGUGGAGGAUGACGCAUUUCGGUGUGUAAACUCCUUUUAUAUGUCAAGAAAAUGACGGUAGCAUAUGAAUAAGCACCGGCUAACUCCGUGCCAGCAGCCGCGGUAAUACGGAGGGUGCAAGCGUUACUCGGAAUCACUGGGCGUAAAGGACGCGUAGGCGGGUUGGAAAGUCAGGUGUGAAAUCCUACAGCUUAACUGUAGAACUGCACUUGAAACUUCUAAUCUAGAGUAUGGGAGGGGGAGAUGGAAUUAGUGGUGUAGGGGUAAAAUCCGUAGAUAUCACUAGGAAUAUCUAAAGCGAAGGCGAUCUCCUGGGACAUUACUGACGCUAAGGCGUGAAAGCGCGGGGAGCAAACAGGAUUAGAUACCCUAGUAGUC